CAACUGCACUCCAGCCUGGGCAACAGAGCGAGACUCCAUCUCAAAAAAAAAAAAAAAAGACUUGGCUCCUCACUUGUAUUGUGGGAAUCCCAGCCUAAAUUGGACAUGUGGAUGUUGAGCAAUAGAGGACAGACAAACAAAGGAAUCUCCAGACCCUGCAGGACCCAAGGCAGCAGCCCACGAGUGGAUCCUAAAGGAUUUUCAUCAGCUGCAAGUCUGGGGGUCCAAGCCUAGGAUAGACUGUGGGCCACGGCCCAGCUCAAAGCACCUUUCUCUGCAUCCAGGGAGCCCUUCAGCCCCUCACAUCAGAAGCACACUUUACACUUGGACAAAGCUUGUUGGCAUUUAUUAUCAUUGUAAGAACCUUGAAAAUUAUUGAACAGAUACCAGAUGGAGGAGGGGCCCCAAGAAAUGAACAAGUGCAACUCCCCUUGUUUUACAGAUGGGGAAACUGAGGCCUGAAAAAAGGACUGUCUGGUGGCAGAGCUGGGAACUUAGAACUUGACAUCUCAUGCACCACAGAGGGGCUGGCACCGUUUACAUCUACUAAAUCGUGGGCCAAAUAGCUUUCUCCCAAGUAGUUUUCUCACCUGCUAGAGAAGCUUUUUAAAAAUUCAAGAAUGCUGGAUGUUGUUAUUCCCUCUCUACAGACUGGAGAACGAUGACACUAGAAGUGUGUGGGAAUUACCUGAGGUCAAAAGCCAAGGGUGGAGCCUGCGGUCCCUCGGCCUCCUGAUUCCACAUUCAUCCUCUUCCCGUCUCAGGAUUUUACACCCAGAGAUGCCAAUGUCUGGUGACUCCACAGGUUGAACUCAGCCUGGCCUGAAACCAGCCCUCAACCCUUCGAAAGCCACAGAGCGCCCCCGCCCCCACCCCUGGCAGGGACCUUCCCAGCUCUGUUCCUCCCUUCUUUUUAUUAUUAUUAUUAUUAUUGAGACGGAGUUUCACUCUUGUUGCCCAGGCUGGAGUGCAAUGGCACGAUCUUGGCUCACCGCAACCUCUGCCUCCAGGGUUCAAGCGAUUCUCCUGCUGCCUCAGCCUCCUGAGUAGCUGGGAUUACAGGUGUGCACCACGCCUGGCCAAUUUUGUAUUUUCAGUAGAUACACCCACCCCCAGGCUCUGGGGACCAAGCCCUGCUCAAAUUGGGGGUGGUGCUGCCAGGGGCAGGGGCAGAGAGGGUGGGAGCCUCCCUUCCAAGUAUUUUAGGGUUUCUCCAUGUUGGUCAGGCUGGUCUCGAACUCCUGACCUCAGGUGAUCCACCCACCUCAGCCUCCCAAAGUGCUGGGAUUACAGGCAUGAGCCACCACGCCUGGCCCCUUGUUUUCCAACCUCCUGCCUAUUCUUCUCCUCCGUGAAGCCCUCCUGAUUUGAAACCCUUGGCUCCCCUUUUCUUGGUUUCUUCCUGCACUCAACAAGCCCCUCCAGCAAUUCCUAAAUCAGGUCCUGGUGUGACUCUCUUCUCUCUCAUCGGACUAGGGGAACAGGCCUGCGUCUCCUCCCUCUGAACUGCCAACUACUAACCCCCACCAUACCCAUUGUCUCCACACCACCUCCCACGCCCCCUGAAGACUCAGACCCAAAACAGAUCUGUAAAGCAUGUGCGUGUGACCAUGGGAACCCGGGAGUCCUGUCUCCUCUUCAUCCACAGAAAUUUCCACAGAAGCCCCACGGAUUCCCAUUUCAGGUAUGAGACUACCAUUGCCUCUGGGUUUCCCUGACCCUCCAGGGACAAUCUGGCUUGUCCUCCCCCAGACUUCUUCCCUCAGCACCUCAGGUGAGGGGAAACCUUCAUGUCCAUGCCCUGGGCACCCACCCCUCCCUCUACCACAUCAAAGCUCAGUGGGGAGCAAGGUCCAGUGAGGGCUUUGGAGUCUCCAGGAAGACCCCCCUUUCUGGGUCAGCUAGAAGAUCAGCUUAGAAGGCUUAGCUGCUCCUGAAGGGGCCUGUGUUGAGCUUCUUGUGCCAUGUUUGGGGUGGCUCUGUGGCACUGCCUGGGCUGAGUAGUUCUGGAUGUGACUAUAGGGAUUUGGGGUGUUACUGUAGAUUUUGGAUGCUGUCAUAGAGUUUGGAGUACAACUGUGGAGUUGCCCUGGAGAUUAUGGUGGGGUUUUCUGGGCUUCACACUAGGGUUGCUCUGGGGUUUUUAUAGGGUUACUCCAAAAGGCCACAGGCCUGUGCUACUACCUGGCCCAGAGGAAGGGAGGGAGAUAAGGCUGUAAAAGAAAGCUAGGGAGUUUGGAGGGGGAAGGACGGAGGUGACCCAGCUUCCUAGAGGAGGGGAUAAUUUGAAGUUGCAGAGCAGCAAGGCUCUGCUCUACCCCAUCUUGGUAUUCAAGUCCCAAACCCUGGCCAACAGCCUCCUUUGUUGGCAGUGAGGGUCUGGGAAUGAAGAAGGCUGCUUGCUCCCCUGGAGUGAUGACAGGCGAGAUGCUGUGCAAGCCCCGGGCUUUCUGUAGGGAGGAAGGACCAGGCCUGGUCCUGGGCAGCAGUAUGGUCCUCCUGGGUGUAUGUCCCCAACAAUAACUGAGCCCAGAGCUCCCACCUCAGUCUUGGAGCCCUGCCCUGGGUGUUGCUGGGGCAGGGCAGAGUCCGGAGGAAAACGACAUAGACCCUUCUCCCUGGGGACCCUGAACUUACAGGGAUGACAGACCCUAAUCUUGGACCCAAGUGAAUAGAGAACUCUUCUUGCAGCUUAAUCAUGAAAAACUCCCCAAGAGACAGAAGUGUAGAGCCAGGAUUGGGCAGAGUCUGAGAAGGGAGAGGGUUCCAAGUAGCAACAGCUGAGGGAAGGUGCAGAGGUGAGGAAGGAUGAGGGUAGUUUAGCCCCAGAGACUUGGCGUAGGGAAAGAAGAGUCAUUCACUCUUGUAUCCAUCAUUCACUUAGCAAACAAUCGAGAGAGCAGCUCUACAUCAGCAUGGUACCAGGAAACACACAGAUGAAUUACACAGGCAGGGACAGCAACUGGAGAGGCUUCCAGAAACUCAGUCCUCAUCCAGAAUACUAGCACCAGCUUCAGAGUUCUCUGGGUCCAUGCUAGCUGAGCUUCUACCUCCCCGCCUCUCCAAUCCAAAAGAAAUCCAUUCCCUAGCAUUUUACUUCUUCCUCAGAGUCCCACCCCUGCCUCAGUCCUUGCCCCAGACCCACUACUCAAAUAUGCCAUGCUCCUCCCCUCUGGGCAGACCCUGGAGCACCUUCUGGACCACAGCUACAGCAGGAGGGAUUGGGGCUAGACAUUUUGAGCACCUUCCCAGUGGCAGAGAGCAGUGGUGCUGAGGAGCUGAGCAGAGGGCCAAGGAAGGGAUGUGAGCUUGAGUCCAGGCCCGAGAUCCUCAGCCUGACUUUGCAUCUUGCCGGGAGAGGCAUCAUUCAUCCACCCAGGGGUGGAGAUGGGGCAGGGGGAGGGGAACGAAAAACACCCACAGCCCAUUAACCUACUUUUGCAACUUCAUUAAAACAGAGUCUUCGA